rnacentral:misc_RNA from 1 species
GGGAAAGUUAAGUCAUUUUCUUUCAUCACCAAAUCAUAAAACAAAGCAAAUACAUGAUAGGUGUAAGCGAUGCAUUCCCAGCAGCAUAUGUUACAAGCAUUUUCACACCCCCAAAUCAACCUUAAUUCAACACCCUUCUAUCAAAACUUAUCUUAGCUAGCUACCUCGUAUGCAACUCUUACAUCCCAUGUUUUACAACAUGAACAAGAAAAAGAAGAAAAUAUUUAUAAAAAAAGAGAGAAGGCAAAGACGUAAAUAAACCGAAAGCAUCAGCUUAAACAAGGAAUAAAAAGAAAGUUAAAAGACCUAACGGUAAGGUAAAUCGGACCGCUACCCUCAAUUCCCCGCGAUGCAAUAAUGUCACUCUCCCAAUUCUUCCCUUUUACUAGGGCUAGAAACUCAGGAGAGUGCAAUUGCAAAGCCUCGCUUCUAUUUUCUUUGUUCUUUUGUCAUCGCGCUUCAUCCAUAUUUACAAAAGAACCCUCCUUCACCGUGCAACCACGACCACAACAACGCACCACUUCCUUUGUAGCCGUUGCCGAAGCUGCCGGAGCCUUGCCAGUGGGUACUUGUCAUCUUGAAUAUUUUUGCUAGCAAGGAAAGAGAAGAAAAGAGAGUUGG